rnacentral:lncRNA from 1 species
UCAGACCUAGGCUCUCGCAGAGAACUGCAUCGCGCUCCCAGCUCUGCUGCCUCGGUGCGGGGACGGGGCUCUGCAUGAGGACUGGGAAUAGACCUUCACUGCUUCUAUCAGUCACCAUAUCUGAAUCUUGGCUUGCCACUCAAUCCUCCAAUAUCGACCAACAACAGGAGAUUCUCUCUAUCUGAGGGGGGAGGUGUGUUUCCCUGACUAGACUCUAAAUACAAAUCCUCCACUUCUCCAUCUGUCUCUCCAGUGAUCUCAGAGGCAUGGUCUUAACACCGCGCACAGUUCCUUGCAAGUUGAAGAGUAGACCCAAAUGAUCAGUUCUAAAAUUCUAUUCUUAUUGAAGAUUACUGGUGGAAAUAUCAAUGCAAACAAAAUGAAAAAGUUCAACAAUGAUUAAUACUGCAUUUCAACAGAAGAAUCAAAUCAUCUUGACAAAACUUCAAUGGGCAAAAUUUGCCUUGGGGAAUUUUAUGCAGGGGAAUCCUUGGGUCUGAUGUGUGGUGGGCUUUGGAUGUGUUGUGUAGCUCAGUGUCCCUUCCUGCUACUCCUAGUCAUCUCCAGAAACUCAGACCACCCAUCUACUAAAGGCAGGUGGAUGAGCAAGGGGGCCUCGGAGGCAUUCCGGAUCACACUGAACCUGAGCCCCACCGCCUGACCCACUCAGUGUCACUGUUAACAGAAACUCGCUGCCAUCUGGCCUCAGGCCUGCCUCCUUCCUAUAGAACUUGACACUGGAAGCACCAGGCGAGCUGGACCUUCUGCUGCUACUGCACUCCCAUGAUGCAGCCUGAGAAUGAAGCCCACCAGAGUGACAGAGAGCAGACCUGAGUGGUGAGCUGGUGACACAGGGUGUGGGUGGUGUCCCUUGAGCUUCGACACCACGCCACACCUGAAACCAGCCUGACAUCCAUGAUUUUGCUUUUUUGCUUAAACCAGUCUGCGUCAUUUUCAACAAAAGAGUUCUACUAGAUAUGACAAAUUUCUCUAGAAGACCUAAGAAGUGAAAGACUUGAAGCUAUUCCAGUGGUUCAGGAACUAGGACACUGGUAGGAAACUGGAAAGAAGGCAUCAGAGUUAAGGAAAUAUUUAUGAGGUCAACUCUGGAAGUCUUGGUUACUGAGUGAAUACAGUGGCUGAGAGGAAUGGAAGCAUCCAACCAAAUAAAAAAAGAUGGUGCUGAGAUUUGGGUUAUGAGGUCAAUGACUGAAGCAAUGCGAUUAACUGAGUUAGGAGUCUCAAAUAUAGGAUGAGUGCAGAGUUGAGGAUGAAGAAUUCUGCUUUGGACACAAUGAGUGUGAGGUGCCCAAGGAUAACCCAACGGGAAGCAGUCACACCAAAGCAACAGGGUGUGCACCUGAAACUCAGAAGGGUGAUUGGGCUAUGGUGAAGAUUCCUGAUCACCCAUAAAUGAAUUCAUUAAAAGCAUGAGAGUGAGUGGAGGGGCCCCUAGAAUAUGGUGGGUGCAUGAGACUAACCCUAGAUUGGGGAUAGCUCCCUGGGAAAUCCAAGGGACAAGGUGAGGAGGAGGAGGCGGAGCCCACCAAGGAAACUAGAAAGAGACCGCUGGAGAGGUCCGAGGACAGCAAGGAGCACAGCCUUCAAGUCUGGGAGCCAACUAUCCAAGAAGAGAGUGGUUUGCUAUGGAUGCCGUGGGCCACCACGUCCCAUCUAGGAAAGCAAGUUGAGGUCUCUCUUGAAUACAUUGGGAUUGAUUACCCAGACUUUAAAGA